GACGAACGCUGGCGGCGUGCUUAACACAUGCAAGUCGAACGGAAAGGCCCUGCUUUUGUGGGGUGCUCGAGUGGCGAACGGGUGAGUAACACGUGAGUAACCUGCCCUUGACUUUGGGAUAACUUCAGGAAACUGGGGCUAAUACCGGAUAGGAGCUCCUGCUGCAUGGUGGGGGUUGGAAAGUUUCGGCGGUUGGGGAUGGACUCGCGGCUUAUCAGCUUGUUGGUGGGGUAGUGGCUUACCAAGGCUUUGACGGGUAGCCGGCCUGAGAGGGUGACCGGCCACAUUGGGACUGAGAUAGGGCCCAGACGCCUACGGGAGGCAGCGGUGGGGAAUAUUGCACAAUGGGCGGAAGCCUGAUGCAGCAACGCCGCGUGCGGGAUGACGGCCUUCGGGUUGUAAACCGCUUUCGCCUGUGACGAAGCGUGAGUGACGGUAAUGGGUAAAGAAGCACCGGCUAACUACGUG
rnacentral:rRNA from 1 species